rfam:Asian citrus Psyllid, Diaphorina citri - Florida Strain, whole genome shotgun sequence.
GUCUCGGUGGUGUAGUGGUCAAGACGCUCGUCUGGCAAACAGGAGGCCGUGGGUUCAAUCCAGUUCGAGGUA